UCCGUGUCCUGGCUGGGGACACGAUGGAGGAGCUGUGCUGGUCCCCUGGGAGGUGGCCACAGGGUUGUGUGGCUCAACCAGAGCUUGGGGGACACCAGCCGCCUCUGACACGGUUACCUCUUGCUUCAUCUAACGCAUUUUGGGGUUGAGAUGAGGAACAGAGCAGCCAGCCAGCCAUCUAUCCACCAACCCAUCCCAAGGCUGGAGCAUGCCAAGCAGCCGACGAAAACCCAGCUGAAGAUACACUUGUGAGCUGGACCUUGGGAAAGUCAUCCUAUGGAAUGCAAGGUCUGGUGGAAGAGGCCAGUCCCUGGACUGGAGAACUGGAAGAAGAGUGAGGCGGCUUGGUGACAGAUGUGGGAGAAGAGACACCAUCGUCCUUGAGCCCAGGGAGCCUGUUUAUUAGCGCUGGUUAUGCUUCAAAGAUCUGAUGAAAGCUCAAGUUUCUGAGAUUCAUACUGCUGGGGAAAUCUAACUGCACCACGUCAGGACCCGGUGUGGUGGAGCUGCUGGGAGUAGCCAUUUCUGAAAACACCAGUAAGAUGUGAGUUUAACUGAAACUAGCAGUAUGAAUUAUUUUAGGAAACCCUGGGCUUGCAAGAAAACAUCUCCACUACAUCUGCAGGAAAAGAGCUUUUGUGGACAUAAGCCAUAUUUCCUAUAGACUGACCACUGUCUGCAGGAGAAGAAGAGGUCUGCAUCCACUCUUAGCUCUCUUCUCCUGCUAAGGUCAAGAGAUGUUAAAAGAUCAAUUUAUUCUUCAUCAUUAAGCCAGGCCCAGUGAUUCAAGUGGGCUCAAAGCAACUUGAGGAGCCAGCACACUCCUGCUUGGAAGUGCCGGCUUGUCUCAAAGCAGACUGUUUUGAAGGAUUACUGUUGCUGGCUGAAAUGCAAUGGCUGUGGUGAACAGCAGCCAUGGAGAUGGCCACGAGAAAAGGAAAUCCAGGCAGGUUGUAAACGUCACACUCUUCAAGACAACGUGCACUACAGUGGGCCAGACCCACAACAUCCCAGAGGAGAGCAGCCACAGCUACAGCUGGGUUUACCACCUGCAGAAGACCUGGCUUAUGCAAACUCAUUGCUCUCAUUUUCAGAAGCCUAGCAAAUAAUUCCAAAGCAGAAACAAAUACAGAACAACCAGCAAGAGCACUGCAAGCCCAGGAGCCUCUGUUUUCCUUCCACACGUGCUAUAUCUCUUUCAAACGCCAGAGAACUAUUUUUUUAUCUCUUCCUCCCUAACUGGCCACCCGUGCCAAAUUGCGGCGGCGGACCUGGGGGUAAUAACUGGUAACGAGCCCCUGUUUGCCUGGGCUGGUAGCCAGUAUUGCCUGACAACUGUCCUCAACAGAAGAAAUGAAAAGGUUCUGGUCAAAGGAGGAGAAAACCCCUGCAACCACAGACUGGCGGUAAUAACAGCCAGACAGGACAGGAUUAUGUUUAGUGCCCCUUUAGCAUGAAAAUUACUCACAAAAGAUGCAGUACGUCCUUUUGCAGGAAACAACCCUUUCAUGCUGUGAGCCCUGGAGAUAAAAGGAUUUAAUGCAUGCUAUGAGAGAGAAGGAGGAUGGAGGAGAGGUCCUCUAAGCUAUCAUUCCCCUUACCAGACGGAGUUCCUUUCCAAAAGAAAUUUCACCUGAAUUUCAGCCCGAGUCCCUCACCCUGUUUUCCAGAAGGCAGAAAAAGCUACCUGCCCCUCACCUUCCUGGCUGGAUUUUGGCAGGGCAAGGCCACUUAUCUGCUUUCACUUUUUGGACUGUCAUCAAUUCCUCAUUUUAAGGAAAAUAAAAGUAACAUAGCAGCUACCGGUGUAUUUUGACAGCACUGGCUGCAGUGAGUCUAAUGCUUUGGUCUGCACCUCUCCUCUUGCACGUAUCACUCAGAAAACCCUAAACCUUUGCAAUUCUGUGCUGGGUGCAGGGUAGACCCUCAGGAGGAAAGCGCAAGCCCUCCAUGCACGCAUCCGUGUGCACGGUGGCCAAACAGCCCGCGGGAAAUGAGUAUGCUGCAAAAACAUGAUUUCAUUUCUGGAUAUGUGUAUCCCAUGACCGUGCCUGCAAUACAGUGUCUGCGUGAUGGGGACUGCCCCGGAGGGGAAACAACUUUCCCUUAUUGCUAGCUAUCAAGAUGGGCUUGCUCGGCCCCCAGUGAGCAAUAUUUGGGAGGCUGGAAGUGCUGUCGUCGGUCCCUAUUGCUGCAGGCAUUCCUGAAUGGCGCUGGUGUGGCAAUGCUCUGGAUAUGAGCUGCUGGGAUGUGAAAAGCAACCCAAAACGUAAAAGGAAAGCCGUGCUGGUUUGUGCCAAUGCAGCUCCUUGCAAUAUCAGUCGAAGGCCACAGUUUUCAGCCACGGUGCACCAUCACUAACCACGCCGUGAAGUGAUGCUCCGGUUGUAACCUCAUUGCAGUAGAUAGGUGGUAUUUUGCAGGCUGGGGAAGAUGCUUGGAGGGAGUAGCUUGUUUGGAAAGGUCACGGCUUGGAGCACAAAAAGAGAAGAAAACCGGCACUAAAUGCAAAGCGAAAGGACAUGUCCUGUCCCUCCUCCCACCAGCCCACCCGAAGCCACCACCUCUCCACGCAGCUUCUCUGAUUAAU